rnacentral:rRNA from 1 species
UGGGCGCAGCCUGAUCUAGCCAUGCCGCGUGAGUGAUAGAAGGCCUUAGGGUUGUAAAGCUCUUUCAGCUGGGAAGAUAAUGACGGUACCAGCAGAAGAAGCCCCGGCUAACUCCGUGCCAGCAGCCGCGGUAA